AAACACCCGCUCUGACCUCUUCAAACAGCCCAAUCACUUCCACAAGGUUACACAGCUAACAAGAAGCUGGGCUGUGAUUUUAACGCGAACUGAUGAAGCUCUAACCCAGCACCCUUGACCAUGAGGCUACGUGAUACACCUUGAAUCUCUGAGCUCUGAGUCUAUUCUGGGGCAGAAACGCAAGGCUUGCAUUUUACAUGUUGCUGUGAUGACUUAGUGAAGACCGGCCGGCGUCCAAGACUGCAGCAAGGCCUCCGGUUUAUGUCUUGGAGAAGCAAGGAGUGAUCACAGCCUGGAGCUCAGGGUCACCGGACACUAACCCCCUCGGCUAAACUGGGGAGAACACUCUGAUGUCACAGGUUAUCUCUUCCAGAGAUUCAUCUGCAUCACCCAGAGAAACGUGGAGAAUGGAGGGAAUCUUCUAGAUUUACUUGAUCAGAAGAGAAGAUGUCUGGGUCCCCAUGACACCAAUGGUACUCACAGCCCCAACACGGCUGACUGCCCCAGAGAGGAUUUUGCCUCAGAAAGAUGUUCUCAAGUGUCAGCUUCUCCUACACGAAAGGCCAGGGAGUCGUAUGAGAGGCAGCAGUGAUAUUCACCCCUUGAUACUGGACCUCUGA
rnacentral:lncRNA from 1 species